AGGUCAGACCACCCUUUUUGGAGGGUCUGUGUCGUGUAAUUGCAGCUUUCACUCUGCUAAGCCUGCUCUGCAGCAUCCUCCUCCUGUGACCCAGCACUCUAUGGCUGCACCAUCUACUUCUGCUGAUACAGCUCCAGCCGCACGGUCUUUCUUGAGGGUCCCUCUGUCUUUGUCCAUGUUCACUAAAUCCCGUUUUGGUGGGUCUCUGUCGGAUUCACUGAAGCCCAACUUGGUGGCCCGGAAAAAACCUACCCCGUCUCAGUCCUCUGUGAGGACCUCUAACCCGUCUCCGUCCUCUGUGAGGACCUCUACCCC